rnacentral:piRNA from 1 species
UACUGACCCCAGAUAUUUAUUACCUGUGA